AUUGAACGCUGGCGGCAUGCCUUACACAUGCAAGUCGAACGGCAGCGGACCUUCGGGUGCCGGCGAGUGGCGAACGGGUGAGUAAAGUAUCGGAACGUACCUUUCAGUGGGGGAUAACUGUCCGAAAGGACAGCUAAUACCGCAUAUUCUGUGAGCAGGAAAGCAGGGGAUCGCAAGACCUUGCGCUGAUUGAGCGGCCGAUAUCAGAUUAGCUAGUUGGUGAGGUAAAGGCUCACCAAGGCGACGAUCUGUAGCGGGUCUGAGAGGAUGAUCCGCCACACUGGAACUGAGACACGGUCCAGACUCCUACGGGAGGCAGCAGUGGGGAAUUUUGGACAAUGGGGGCGAACCCUGAUCCAGCCAUGCCGCGUGAAGGAUUAAGGCCCUCUGGGUUGGUAAACUUCUUUUCUUUGGGUAAUAAAAACUACCGUUUCUACGGAGCUUGAAGGUACCAGAGGAAUAAAGCACCGGCUAACUACCGUGCCAGCAGCCGCGGUAAAGUAGACGU
rnacentral:rRNA from 1 species